rnacentral:rRNA from 1 species
UGGUGGAGUGAUUUGUCUGGUUAAUUCCGUUAACGAACGAGACCUCAGCCUGCUAAAUAGCUACGCUCAGGCAAUCUGGGUGGCCAGCUUCUUAGAGGGACUAUCGGUGUCUAACCGAUGGAAGUUUGAGGCAAUAACA